CCUUCUGUUCCCAGCUUUCACACCUAACAGGCUGUCCCACUCUUAAAAUGGCCCAGACCUUUGUUCCUCUUCUGUUCACGGCAAGAGAAGAGCACAACUACCUCUGCAACAUUCAGGAAGAGAAUGGAUUAAACAAGCUUUUCCAGUUUUCAGGAGAUUUUUACACACUGUCAUCCACAGAACUCCAAGAAGCAGUCACUGAAAAUAACACUGCCACUGAGAAUUCACCAUGUUGUCAAUAUUUACUGUCAUUACCUAAUGAUCCAUUCAUAUGAUGUGAAUCCAUUCCACCCAGUCCACUCAUUGGCCCAUCUGACCCUGGUCCCAGGGGAAACUACAAAAGCAGCAAACAUUAAACACUGUACAAAUAUUUUUUAGAUAACCUAAUAAAGGGAAAAUGUUUCUCAAGAGGAAUAAAAAAACACAGUAAAGGAAAAAUUCACAGUCUCAACUCUGAAUGGGAAGGGAGUCUCAAGUUCCAUUCAGACCUUUAAGAGAAGGUCUUUCCUGUGAAGCCAGAAAACCAUCAUUGCUUUUGGUCACUUUAAUGAUUUUUGGAGACUGUCAUCUCUGUAGGCUGGUCUAUAACUUAGGAAUAAUUUAUUAUUUAGUUCAACACUAUGUGUACAACUUUCCAACUUGCUGGUGCUGACCCAACCCUACUCCCAUUGAAGUUACAGGGAACUUUAUUACUCCCUUGAAUUAUUAAUUCAAGUCAUUAAUUAACAGCUUUCAAACCCUGACUGCUCCACAUUACCUUUGUAACUUGAGCGGUUGCUGUCCAAUUUCAGAUAUUAACCUUAAAUUUAGCUCUUCACAAAAUUAAAGAUAUUAAUAUUAUGCCAAAACAAUCUACAAUUUACUGCAUAAUGAUUUAUCAGUAUUUAUAGAAAAUUAUUUUAAGCUCAACUGGUGAUUCUUCCCAAAAGGUCCACAACUGAAGGCCCACCCAUAAAAAUGGAACACUUAGCAAUAAUGACACCUGAUGGAAAUGCAAUGUUUGUAUAAACAAAGGGCUGCAUAAUUCAAAGAAACAUACA